UACGUAGGGGGCGAGCGUUGUCCGGAUUUAUUGGGCGUAAAGAGCUCGUAGGCGGUUCGAUAAGUCGGACGUGAAAUCUCCACGCUCAACGUGGAGGGGCCGUUCGAUACUGUCGUGACUCGAGUCCGGUAGGGGAGUGUGGAAUUCCCGGUGUAGCGGUGAAAUGCGCAGAUAUCAGGAGGAACACCGGUGGCGAAGGCGGGUCUCUGGGCCGAUAUUGACGCUGAGGAGCGAAAGCGUGGGGAGCGAACAGG
rnacentral:rRNA from 1 species